UUGAAGAGUUUGAUCAUGGCUCAGAUUGAACGCUGGCGGCAGGCCUAACACAUGCAAGUCGAACGGUAACAGAAAGUGCUUGCACUUUGCUGACGAGUGGCGGACGGGUGAGUAAUACUUAGGGAUCUGCCUUUGAGUGGGGGAUAACUAUUGGAAACGAUAGCUAAUACCGCAUAACGUUUACGGACCAAAGGGGGCUUCGGCUCUCGCUCAAAGAGGAACCUAAGCGAGAUUAGCUUGUUGGUGAGGUAAAGGCUCACCAAGGCGACGAUCUCUAGCUGUUCUGAGAGGAAGAUCAGCCACACUGGGACUGAGACACGGCCCAGACUCCUACGGGAGGCAGCAG
rnacentral:rRNA from 1 species